rnacentral:lncRNA from 1 species
AAAAGAGGGUUUAAGUUUGUAUGCUAUUUUAUAUCACAUCAGUGGUCUACUGCGCGAGGGUGUUCGUCAAAUUGGUGACCUGCAGAGGCAAGUCGUGCUCACCAUUUGGUUUAGAAGAGCUCGGAUGAUGGGCGUCUCCAUGUGUGGUGGAAGUAUAGUGGACUGCAGGUACAAAGCUUGAGCCCAGAGUGGGCAAUCUUGCAGAA